UACGUGGGGUGCGAGCGUUGUCCGGAAUUACUGGGCGUAAAGAGCUCGUAGGUGGUUUGUCGCGUUGUUCGUGAAAACCGGGGGCUUAACCCUCGGCGUGCGGGCGAUACGGGCAGACUUGAGUACUGCAGGGGAGACUGGAAUUCCUGGUGUAGCGGUGGAAUGCGCAGAUAUCAGGAGGAACACCGGUGGCGAAGGCGGGUCUCUGGGCAGUAACUGACGCUGGAGGAGCGAAAGCGUGGGGAGCGAACAGG
rnacentral:rRNA from 1 species